CGUUAUUAGUCGGGGUGCUUUGUGCUGAGAUGAUACCCGUGAACCUGAUACAGUUAAUACUGACGUAGGAAACUAACAGAAAUCAUAU
rfam:Aggregatibacter actinomycetemcomitans D11S-1, complete genome.